UGGGGAAUAUUGCACAAUGGGCGAAAGCCUGAUGCAGCGACGCCGCGUGAGGGAUGACGGCCUUCGGGUUGUAAACCUCUUUCAGUAGGGAAGAAGCGAUGGGGUUUUCUUUGUCGUGACGGUACCUGCAGAAGAAGCGCCGGCUAACUACGUGCCAGCAGCCGCGGUAAUACGUAGGGCGCAAGCGUUGUCCGGAAUUAUUGGGCGUAAAGAGCUCGUAGGCGGUUAGUCGCGUCUGCUGUGAAAACUCGAGGCUCAACCUCGGGCUUGCAGUGGGUACGGGCUGACUAGAGUGCGGUAGGGGUGACUGGAAUUCCUGGUGUAGCGGUGGAAUGCGCAGAUAUCAGGAGGAACACCGAUGGCGAAGGCAGGUCACUGGGCCGCA
rnacentral:rRNA from 1 species